rnacentral:piRNA from 1 species
UGCCACAUUCUGGAAUGGAGGGAAG